UACGUAGGGGGCAAGCGUUGUCCGGAUUUACUGGGCGUAAAGAGCGCGUAGGCGGAAGCUUAAGUGUGGCCUGAAAGCCCCCGGCUCAACCGGGGAAGGUGGCUGCAAACUGGGCUUCUUGAGGGGGAUAGGGGAAAGUGGAAUUCCGGGUGUAGCGGUGAAAUGCGUAGAGAUCCGGAGGAACACCAGUGGCGAAGGCGGCUUUCUGGGUCCGCCCUGACGCUGAGGCGCGAAAGCUAGGGGAGCAAACGGG
rnacentral:rRNA from 1 species